CGACAACAUGGCAGCGCGGCAACAACAAUACUACAAUGAGAAUAAAAGACAGCUGUGAGUGGGGGAGGGGUGCUGACACUCCUGUGCUCGCUCACAGCAGAGUGGGAGGUGUGAACAGGAAGUACCGCCCAACCUGCUCUCCGCCCAGUAGUCCCACCCCCUCACAUCCCAAACUGGAUACCAUGGAGGAGAGACAGUUUCAGCUGCAAGAGCUUUCAGGGGCUGCACGGCAGAUGGGUGCCUUGCUUUUACAUCUCACUUGAGGGUUGGAAAAAACAGCACAAUCUGCGACCCACAAUGCAGCAUCAGCGGAGCCGCGCAAACGAAACAGGGAAUCCAUGCAAGGACACAGCCCAGAUUCUUAACAAUCCCUUUGAAUCUCCACUUCCCCCUGCCCGGCCCUUCAAAGUGUGCCCAAUGUUUUAUUUAUCCGACGGAGGAAGGAAAUAAAGAGCCCGGCACAACAGAGUACCCCUUCUGUUUCCUGAAAAAGUCGGCCGUUAUCGAGAACGAGGGGAGGGACGGUGGGGAUUCGCACAUGUCUUUGAGAAAAAACUACAAAUCCCAACAGGCUCGGUGGUGGAAACGGACCAGCUGUCCACGGUUUUGCAGAUCAGAUCCCGUUGUCUUGAUUAUGAAAUCACAAAAUAAUGAGGAGUAAAGUGCAGGCGUGAGUGUUUUCUCCUUUGUUCUUGCUUUUGACAGAAGUUAUUUUUCUCCCGUUGCCUCCAAGCUGUGGUCUGCGGCUGCCAAUGUUUGGUGCAGGACUGCAUUUGUUCCCACAGACAGAAGAGAAGACUCGUGGCCUUGCCCUGUUUAAAGCUGUCAUCCAACUCCCGCCUUGUGUUUUAUUCAAUUUUGACUGCGGCCCAUACGCCUCCCAUACCAACUGUCAUCAUCAAAAUUGCAAAAGUCCAAAGCAAUUAGACUUUUUGGAGACUCUCGGUUAACUUCUGUUGUGUUCUCGCAUUAUAUUAGAUAGAAAGAUGCACUACUUUAUGAAAAAACAAAAACAAAAACUGAAUCUUCUUGCAAUGCCAGUUUUUGAGUAUUGUUCUUGCAAAGUUUCAUAGAUGACACAAUCGCAAUCUGUCUAGCCUGGAUCUGGACUGCAUUUGCCAAAAGCAUUGUAUGCCUAAGUGGAUGGUAGAACAGUUGGCACUGGUGGUCUCUACCAACAAUUUAUGUUUAAGUUGCUUCUGGGAUACGUAGCCCGAACUGGUACAAUUUCAUUUGGACUAAAGUAAAAUAGCAUAAAUUAUUGCUUCAGUCCGACUUAAGUCGAUUCAAAUGCACUCAUCUACGGUUGAGCACAAGCACCAACCAAGACUUCCUAAAAGCUUUCUGUGUUUACUUCCAUAAUGACUGGCUAAUUUUCUAGUUUCUAGACAAAUAUGAACUUUUUACGACACAGCAAAUGAGCAAAUCGCAGCAGGCACUGAAAGCAGGCAGCAUUGUCAAAAAAGAUUUAGAUAUGAACAAAAAAGCUGACAGUGUUAAUAUGGAACCAAAAAGAGGAGCGCAACCUGGCAUUCACUCAAAUUUUGCACCUGCACCUUAACAAAUGGAGCUCUCCUGUGUGCCUCUCUGGCUUUCUCUGACUCCAUCUCUCAUUUCUAUUCAGCAAAAACUCUCGUUCUGUCCUACACCCAGGCUCUGGGCGACAUUUUUGGGGAGUUUCUUCUGCUGGGUGUACUGUGCGUGCAUUAAUUUGGGCCCAUCUCUGAGGAAGCGCAACAAUGAAGUGGACCUGUUUGGGAACGCGGUGCCAAGAUUGGGGGAUGACACAGUGAGGAGUUAGAGACACCUGGUCCGCCUGAAGGGCAAGCGGAAAACUUCUUCCCCCUUUCCCUCGCUCUGAGAAAACAGCUGCUGAUCAGCAUCUCGCAGCCAUCUUACCAUACUGGCUCAACCCAGGCCAUCAAUCAGCCAACACCUCCUGGGUGAGAGAGAGAGAGAGAGAGAGAGAGAGAGAGCAAUGAGCAAUACCUCAUUUGUUUUGGCAUAGGUGCUCAGUAUACUUUCACAACAGCUUUGAUUGGUUUCAGUUUAUGACUGAUAUUGAAGACCCCUUGAAAUCAUUUGAUGUCCAAUUCUCCCGUGUUGAUGUGUUGGGCAGGACCAGACCAAAAAUAAUAAAAAAAAUAAAAAAAAUGAUUAAUGCUGUCAAACAAUUAACCGUGAU